rnacentral:rRNA from 1 species
GACGAACGCUGGCGGCGUGCUUAACACAUGCAAGUCGAACGGAAAGGCCUCUUUCGGGGGGUACUCGAGUGGCGAACGGGUGAGUAACACGUGAGUAACCUGCCCUUGACUUUGGGAUAACUUCAGGAAACUGGGGCUAAUACCGGAUAGGAGCUCCUGCUGCAUGGUGGGGGUUGGAAAGUUUCGGCGGUUGGGGAUGGGCUCGCGGCUUAUCAGCUUGUUGGUGGGGUAGUGGCUUACCAAGGCUUUGACGGGUAGCCGGCCUGAGGGGGUGACCGGCCACAAUGGGGCUGAAGUAAGGCCCAAGCUGCGAAGGGAGGCAACAGGGGGGAAGAAUGCAAAAUGGGUGGAAGGCUGGUGCAGGAACGCCGGGGGCGGGAAGGCGGCCUUCGGGUUGUAAACCGCCUUCGCUCAUGAAGAAGCUUUGUGUGACGGUAGUGGGUAAAGAAGCACCGGCUAACUACGUG